rnacentral:tRNA from 1 species
AACAUAGAAGUAAAAAAUACAAUUAGUUUCGACCUAAUAUAAGAGAAUAUAACUCUCCAUGUUU